CUGAGUGUGAAUAUGAUGAUUUCUCAUGUCUCUUCUCUGACAUUCUACUGGAGAGAACGUGUAUUAUAUCUGAUCUCAG